rnacentral:tRNA from 1 species
UGAUAAAGGCUUUCCUUUUAUUGAUUGCAAUUCAAUUAAUUUUAUCAA